CUCUCCUGUUGCAUCCGCCUGAACACUGCCCUUCAGCACUCCCCAACAGCCCCUUACAGCUGGCUUUGAAGAGGACCCAGGGGUCCCUCCAACCUUCAAAGCAGCACCCCUACUGCUAAAGUAGAAAGUGUUCUCCAGAGAUGGGGCCUCUGAAAGCCAUGAAGACAGAGUCAGGAAGGAACCUGGUGGAAAGAGUAAAUGCUGAAGUAAAAAUCUCUCCCUGACUUAGCAGAGCUGCUUCUAGCUGAACAGACUGAAGAAAUGCAGAGUAGGUCACUUCUACACUAAUCCCCUCCUCUAAACUUGCCCCGCUUUUGGUUUACCCAAAUACCCUCCUUGAACACUGAACCAGAAGCUGUAGGACUGCUGAGAGUGCCUGUGAAAUCCAAAGGCACAGAUAUGAGGUUGGAGCCAUGCAGAGGGACAUCUGGUAGACCAUGUCACUGUUCAGCAAUAUCUACUUCCCCUCCCUGAGUAAACACUAAAGUUUCCCACCUCAAUAAA